rnacentral:tRNA from 1 species
GCCGAAGUGGCGGAACUGGCAGACGCGCGCGACUCAAAAUCGCGAGGGCUUCGCCCGUGUGGGUUCGAUUCCCACCUUCGGCA